rnacentral:rRNA from 1 species
UACGUAGGGUGCAAGCGUUGUCCGGAAUUAUUGGGCGUAAAGAGCUCGUAGGCGGUUUGUUGCGUCGGAUGUGAAAUCUCAGGGCUCAACCCUGAACCUGCAUUCGAUACUGCUUGGCUAGGGUACUGGAGAGGAGACUGGAAUUUACGGUGUAGCAGUGAAAUGCGUAGAUAUCAGGAGGAACACCAGUGGCGAAGGCGCCGCUCUGGGCCGUGACUGACGCUGAGGAGCGAAAGCGUGGGUAGCAAACAGG